rnacentral:rRNA from 1 species
UACGUAGGGUGCGAGCGUUGUCCGGAAUUACUGGGCGUAAAGAGCUCGUAGGUGGUUUGUCGCGUUGUCCGUGAAAUUCCCUGGCUUAACUGGGGGCGUGCGGGCGAUACUGAUCGACUCGAAGGCAGGAGAGGGAAGUGGAAUUCCCGGUGUAGUGGUGAAAUGCGUAGAUAUCGGGAGGAACACCAGUGGCGAAGGCGACUUCCUGGCCUGUUCUUGACGCUGAGGCGCGAAAGCUAGGGGAGCAAACGGG